UCCAACAUUUCCCUCCAACAUUUCCCUCCUACAUUUUUCUCUCCCACACAACAUUUUCCCCCAAUUUGCCUCUUCCUCUUCUCAUAGAAAGCAACCCAGUCGCUACCCUACCGGUUUUUCUCUUCCUUUUCUCGCAACUCACCAUCCAAACAUCGCCGCUACCCUCCCCAUUUUCCUCUUCCUUUUCUUGCCACCCACCAUUCGAAGGACACUGCUACUUGCUACCAUUCGAACGUUGUUGAACGCCAUUGCUACCUGCUACCAUCCGUUCGUUGCUGGAGGCCGCUGCUCCCUUGCUCACCGAACUCGUCGUUCUUCUUUCGAAAAGGAAGAUUCAAAGACAAAGCAAAAACUACUGAUAUGAGGAGUCUGAUAUUAUAUUACACUGCUAUAUGUUUUUGAAGAUUACAUUGGGAAACUAAUGCAAACUUUGAUGAAGUGGUGGCUAAAGAGCUUCAGCUGCUGCUCUUUUCAUCCUUGGAAUAGAAAAUGAUGCAUAAGAAACUCUAAGAGAUGGGAACAUCCCUGGGAUUCAAAAAAUUAUUAAAGGUAUGUUGAAGAGAAAUCUAUUUGAUAUUUUAUUAUUGUUGCAGACCUUCGACAUUCAAGAAAAACAAAAGGGAAAAAAACGAAAAAUCAUAUUAUGAUUGUGCAGGAAAUUAUGAUUCAUGAUCGCUCAUUAUGGACCUUUUUGGAAAUAGAAACUGCUACUGGCAAUGUAGAUAACGGUUCAAUUGAACACUCUCUAAGACAUAGAAGCACCUAUACAAAAUAAAUUUUGGAUGGCGGAGAACAGAUAGGACUGAAACAUUUCAAGUCAGUGAAGCCUUUCAGAUCUGGUGGAACUGGCAGUUAUGAGCUGGAAGUUUAAACAAGAAACAAUUCCAGUUUUAAGACUUCAGACCUCUGGUGACCAAGAGGAUGAGGAUAUAGCAUACACACUCCAAGGCUAUGAAACUUUUCCUAAAAGGUAACAUUUAUAAUCUCGUGUUCAUUUGGUAUGUUAUUCUAUGUUACUUUGUAAUACUAUUUAGUCAAUUGAUUGUAAAUUUUGACUGUAGUUGAGGAUGUGUGUGGAAGAUAUCCAAAUGCCACAGAGGUCAACAUCUUUGGUGUACCAGUUGUUCACUUGCAAGCAAUCUCUUCCUUAGUUUUAGUAUACCACACAUGUUUUUUGUUAUAUAAGAUAUCUAUUAUUAUUGUUGAUUUUGAAAUAGGCCACAUUUAGAAAAUUUUAGUUGACUAUAUUGGAUUGGAAUUGUGUAAUUGUUGAU